rnacentral:rRNA from 1 species
UACGGGGGGGGCAAGCGUUGUUCGGAUUUACUGGGCGUAAAGGGCGCGUAGGCGGCCUCUGCAAGUCGACUGUGAAAUCUCCGGGCUUAACCCGGAACGGUCAGCCGAUACUGCAGGGCUAGAGUGCAGAAGGGGCAACUGGAAUUCUCGGUGUAGCGGUGAAAUGCGUAGAUAUCGAGAGGAACACCUGCGGCGAAGGCGGGUUGCUGGGCUGACACUGACGCUGAGGCGCGAAAGCUAGGGGAGCGAACGGG